rnacentral:rRNA from 1 species
GGUCAAUGGGUGCAAGCCUGAACCAGCCAUCCCGCGUGAAGGACGACUGCCAUAUGGGUUGUAAACUUCUUUUGUAUAGGGAUAAACUUACCCUCGUGAGGGUAGCUGAAGGUACUAUACGCAUAAGCACCGGCUAACUCCGUGCCAGCAGCCGCGGUAAUACGGAGGGUGCAAGCGUUAUCCGGAUUUAUUGGGUUUACAGGGUCCGUAGGCGGACUUAUAAGUCAGUGAUGAAAGCCUGUCGCUUAACGAUAGAACUGCCAUUGAUACUGUAAGUCUUGAGUAUAGUGUGGGUAGCUGGAAUAAGUAGUGUAACGGUGAAAUGCAUAGAUAUUACUUAGAACACCAGUUGCGAAGUCAGGUUACCAAGAUAUAACUGACGCGGAGGGACGAAAGCGUGGGGAGCGAACA